UUAUAGUUGCGGCUGCUGUAGGUGGUUCCGUUGGUGCAGUUCUGAUAGUCGCCGUAGUGGUUGUUGUGAUUAUCAUUUAUAUAAGGAAGAAACGAACAAAAGGCAAACAAAACGCCGGUGAUGAUGACGAUGGUGAUUACGUUAUUAGGGAUGUUAACCCGAACAACGCUUAUACGAAUUGUAACCCUUCCGUCGCUAAUAACAAUGUUAAUUGUCAUAAUAAUGUGGACAUUGUUGGUAACACUUACGAACAUCUACAGCACGAUACUGUACAGUAUGUUAACACCCCGUCGAGUGUUGAUGAAGACCACGUGUACCUCCACGUCAAUGAACCAACACAAGGAAUACCUGACGACUCACAGACGAGUGUUGAUGAAGACCACGUGUACCUCCACGUCAAUGAACCAACACAGUCACAGAUCUCAGAUCAAGAUUAUUAUAACACUGCCAACAUGAUUGGAUGAAACAGUUUAGAUUCACACUUCGUUUGUGAAGGGCGGGACGUAGCUCAGUGAUAAAACGCGAUCAGUCUAGGAUCGAUCCCUGUCGUUAGACUCAUUGAGCUAUUUUUCGUUGUAACAAAAGCCGUGGUAUGUACUAUCCUGUUUCCUGUCAUCCGUAUGGCUCUUAACAAAUGUGUAUGAUUUACAAAGAUAAAUAAAUGUUAACUUCUU